AAGAAAGUUUGCUUUCUUUUGCUGGCGACCGGCGCACGGGUGAGUAACACGUAUCCAACCUACCCUUUACUCGGGGAUAGCCUUUCGAAAGAAAGAUUAAUACCCGAUAGCAUAAUGAUUCCGCAUGGUUUCAUUAUUAAAGGAUUCCGGUAAAGGAUGGGGAUGCGUUCCAUUAGGUUGUUGGUGGGGUAACGGCCCACCAAGCCUUCGAUGGAUAGGGGUUCUGAGAGGAAGGUCCCCCACAUUGGAACUGAGACACGGUCCAAACUCCUACGGGAGGCAGCAUG
rnacentral:rRNA from 1 species